UUUUUUUUGGUAAAUGUAGCACAAGGGAUCAAGGGCAGAAAAGCCUUAUCUUCACAAUUGGGCAAGGACUUAUUUCCACCAGAGGAUUGGACGAAGGAGUUAUGGAAAUGACAGAGGGGGAAAUUGCCCGUCUUCUGUGUACACCCGACUUUGCUUAUGGCACUGAAGGUGCUGUAGGAUUUCCAUCAUGGGGCAUCGGUCCGAACUCAACCGUUAUCUUUGAGGUUGAGCUUGUCCGUAUUGAUGAUGAUGAUAGUGAUGACGAUGAUGAUGAUGAAUGAGCAUCUAAUUUCUCAAUAUGCCGUAUUGAUAUCUAUCUAUCUAGCUAGCUAUCUAGCUAUCUAUCUUUGGGACCUCUGAAAAGUAACGACUUUAGUUAAAUUAUUAGAUUUUAGACCUAUGUCCAACACUGGACACGGGAUUUACGAUAUUAUCAAUAUUAG